rnacentral:lncRNA from 1 species
UUAAAGAGGGUUUUUAAGAGGAGAUUGGCCGCCAAAAAUGAAUCAAAGACUCAGAUGGAUGGCGGAGAGCGUUUCCUACUAGAAUUAGAGUUUUAGGGCGCAUUUGGUUCGCACUAUGAAAUUGUACUAGGAGUAAAAAGAUAUCCAAGAAUUUUAUUCUUAUUCAUCCUAUUACUAAGAAUGUAGUAUUUCGGUGUUUGUUUGUACGGUCAUAUUAUUUAGUCAUGUUAUUUAAAAUUAUGAAAAAUAUACAAUUAAUUUAUUUAUUUAUUAAAUUAAUUUUAAAUAAUACUAUAAAAAAUUUCAACAUCUUUUUUAAAAAAAGAGAGAAAGAAUAUAGGUUAGAAAGAGAUAGCAUAAUUAAAGAAAUAUGAAGAGAAAUAUAAUCGAGGUUAGAGAAAAUGAGAUGGUUGAAAUUUUAGAAAAAGAGGGAGAGAAAUAACUUAGUUUAGAGAGACAAAAAGAGUUGACGCUCAGAGAAAGAUAUGAGGUUAGAGUGUAAAGAAAAAUAAUAUCAACUAGCCGGCAGGUGGGAAGAAAGAAAGAGAUUAGAUAUAUUAUAAUUACUCCAAUCCAUUAAUAUAAAAAUACCCACCAUCCCUCAAAGGAAUGAGAUUAGUAUUUUUGGAUGCAUCUCAUUCCCAAGUAAAUCUAGUAUUACCAACUAGAUUACUUAAUGCGUUUAGCCAAGCACUGUCAUAUUUUUUUAUUCCUAUUGGAUUACUAGGAAUCUUAAAAAGAUAGCACGAACCAAACGCACCCUUAGGGUUAU